AAUGGCGCCUGUGACUGUAUAGCUAGAGUGUGUCAGAGGGGGGGUAGAAUUUCCACGUGUAGCAGUGAAAUGCGUAGAUAUGUGGAGGAAUACCAAUGGCGAAGGCAGCCCCCUGGGAUAACACUGACGCUCAUGCACGAAAGCGUGGGGAGCAAACAGGAUUAGAUACCCUGGUAGUCCACGCCCUAAACGAUGCUGACUAGUUGUUCGGGAUUUACAUCCUGAGUAACGUAGCUAACGCGUGAAGUCAGCCGCCUGGGGAGUACGGUCGCAAGAUUAAAACUCAAAGGAAUUGACGGGGACCCGCACAAGCGGUGGAUGAUGUGGAUUAAUUCGAUGCAACGCGAAAAACCUUACCUACCCUUGACAUGUCACUAACGAAGUAGAGAUACAUUAGGUGCUCGUAAGAGAAAGUGAACACAGGUGCUGCAUGGCUGUCGUCGGCUCGUGUCGUGAGAUGUUGGGUUAAGUCCCGCAACGAGCGCAACCCUUGUCUUUAGUUGCUACGCAAGAGCACUCUAAAGAGACUGCCGGUGACAAACCGGAGGAAGGUGGGGAUGACGUCAAGUCCUCAUGGCCCUUAUGGGUAGGGCUUCACACGUCAUACAAUGGUGCAUACAGAGGGUUGCCAACCCGCGAGGGGGAGCUAACCUCAGAAAAUGCAUCGUAGUCCGGAUCGUAGUCUGCAACUCGACUACGUGAAGCUGGAAUCGCUAGUAAUCGCGGAUCAGAAUGUCGCGAUGAAUACGUUCCCGGGUCUUGUACACACCGCCCGUCAUACCAUGGGAGUGGGUUUUGCCAGAAGCCGUUAGCCUAACCGCAAGGAGGGCGACUGCCACGGCAGGGUUCAUGACUGGGGUAAAGUCGUAACAAGGUAACCGU
rnacentral:rRNA from 1 species